GAUGAACGCUGGCGGCGUGCCUAAUACAUGCAAGUCGAGCGAACGGACGAGAAGCUUGCUUCUCUGAUGUUAGCGGCGGACGGGUGAGUAACACGUGGAUAACCUACCUAUAAGACUGGGAUAACUUCGGGAAACCGGAGCUAAUACCGGAUAAUAUUUUGAACCGCAUGGUUCAAAAGUGAAAGACGGUCUUGCUGUCACUUAUAGAUGGAUCCGCGCUGCAUUAGCUAGUUGGUAAGGUAACGGCUUACCAAGGCAACGAUGCAUAGCAGACCUGAGAGGGUGAUCGGCCACACUGGAACUGAGACACGGUCCAGACUCCUACGGGAGGCAGCAGUAGGGAAUCUUCCGCAAUGGGCGAAAGCCUGACGGAGCAACGCCGCGUGAGUGAUGAAGGUCUUCGGAUCGUAAAACUCUGUUAUUAGGGAAGAACAUAUGUGUAAGUAACUGUGCACAUCUUGACGGUACCUAAUCAGAAAGCCACGGCUAACUACGUG
rnacentral:rRNA from 1 species